GAUGAACGCUGGCGGCGUGCCUAAUACAUGCAAGUCGAGCGAACAGACGAGGAGCUUGCUCCUCUGACGUUAGCGGCGGACGUGUGAGUAACACGUGGAUAACCUACCUAUAAGAUUGGGAUAACUUCGUGAAACCGGUGCUAAUACCGGAUAAUAUAUUCAACCGCAUUGUUCAAUAGUUAAAUCCGGUUUUGCUGUCACUUAUAGCUAUCUCCUCGCCGCAUUAGCUAUUUGGUAAGGUAACGGCUUACCAAGGCAACGAUGCGUAGCCGACCUGAGAGGGUGAUCGGCCACACUGGAAAUGAGACAAGGUCCAGAAUCCUAAGGGAGGCAGCAGUAGGGAAUCUUCCGCAAUGGGCGGAAGCCUGACGGAGCAACGCGGCGUGAGUGAUGAAGGUCUUCGGAUCGUAAAACUCUGUUAUUAGGGAAGAACAAAUGUGUAAGUAACUAUGCAAGUCUUGACGGUACCGAAACAGAAAGCCACGGCUAACUACGUG
rnacentral:rRNA from 1 species